AACGAACGCUGGCGGCAUGCCUAACACAUGCAAGUCGAACGAGACCUUCGGGACUAGUGGCGCACGGGUGCGUAACGCGUGGGAACCUGCCCUUAGGUUCGGAAUAACUCCCCGAAAGGGGUGCUAAUACCGGAUAAUGUCUUCGGACCAAAGAUUUAUCGCCUUUGGAUGGGCCCGCGUUGGAUUAGCUAGUUGGUAGGGUAAAAGCCUACCAAGGCGACGAUCCAUAGCUGGUCUGAGAGGAUGAUCAGCCACACUGGGACUGAGACACGGCCCAGACUCCUACGGGAGGCAGCAGUGGGGAAUAUUGGACAAUGGGCGAAAGCCUGAUCCAGCAAUGCCGCGUGAGUGAUGAAGGCCUUAGGGUUGUAAAGCUCUUUUACCCGGGAUGAUAAUGACAGUACCGGGAGAAUAAGCACCGGCUAACUCCGUG
rnacentral:rRNA from 1 species